rnacentral:rRNA from 1 species
UACAGAGGUCUCAAGCGUUGUUCGGAUUCAUUGGGCGUAAAGGGUGCGUAGGCGGCGCGGUAAGUCGGGUGUGAAAUCUCGGAGCUUAACUCCGAAACUGCAUUCGAUACUGCCGUGCUUGAGGACUGGAGAGGAGACUGGAAUUUACGGUGUAGCGGUGAAAUGCGUAGAUAUCGUAAGGAAGACCAGUGGCGAAGGCGGGUCUCUGGACAGUUCCUGACGCUGAGGAGCGAAAGCGUGGGUAGCAAACAGG